rnacentral:rRNA from 1 species
UACGGAAGGUGCGAGCGUUAAUCGGAAUUACUGGGCGUAAAGCGUGCGCAGGCGGUUUUGUAAGCCAGAUGUGAAAUCCCCGGGCUCAACCUGGGAAUGGCAUUUGGGACUGCAAGGCUUGAGUGCGGCAGAGGAGACUGGAAUUCCUGGUGUAGCAGUGAAAUGCGUAGAUAUCAGGAGGAAUACCGAUGGCGAAGGCAGGUCUCUGGGCUGACACUGACGCUCAUGCACGAAAGCGUGGGGAGCAAACAGG